CACCGCGGUUAUACGAGAGGCCCAAGUUGAUUAUUUACGGCGUAAAGAGUGGUUAGGAAAAAAUAAGAACUAAAGCAGAAUGUUUUCAAAGCUGUUAUACGCACCCAAAAACGAGAAGUCCAACCACGAAAGUGGCUUUACUAAACCCUGAACCCACGAAAGCUAGGGAA
rnacentral:rRNA from 1 species